UACGGAGGGUGAAGCGUUAAUCGGAAUUACUGGGCGUAAAGCGCGCGUAGGUGGUUUGAUAAGCGGAGAUGAUGAAGCCCCGGGCUUAACCUGGGAACGGCAUUUCAGACUGUCAGCUAGAGUAUGGUAGAGGAGUGUGGAAUUUCCUGUGUAGCGGUGAAAUGCGUAGAUAUAGGAAGGAACACCAGUGG
rnacentral:rRNA from 1 species